rnacentral:rRNA from 1 species
CAAUAGCGUAUAUUAAAGCUGUUGCGGUUAAAAAGCUCGUAGUUGGAUUUCUGUCAAGGACAACUGGUCCGCCCCUCGGGUGAGCACAUAGUUUGGUCUUGGCAUCUUGUUGGAAACUGUUGCUGCACUUGGUUGUGUGGCGCAGUGUCCAGCACUUUCACUUUGAGGAAAUUGGAGUGUUUCAAGCAGGCACAUGCCUUUGGACACAGUAGCAUGGAAUAAUUAGAUUGGGCUUUUGCUCCAACUUGUCGGUUUCUGGAGCUGAGGUGAGAAUUAAUGGGGAUUGUUGGGGGCAUCCGAAUUUAGCCGUCAGAGGUGAAAUUCUUGGAUCUGCUAAAGACGGACAACUGCGAAAGCGUUUGCCCAGGAUGUUUUCAUUGAU